rfam:Streptomyces yokosukanensis strain DSM 40224 genomic scaffold PRJNA299221_s003, whole genome shotgun sequence.
CGGCGAAACCCGCUGGUGAGGCGGGUCGCGAAGCGGUGGUGCGCUUCGCCUGAUGAUGCCAGCCAGCA